UACGGAGGAUGCGAGCGUUAUCCGGAUUUAUUGGGUUUAAAGGGUGCGUAGGCGGUUUGUCAAGUCAGCGGUGAAACGCAACGGCUCAACCCUUGACCUGCCGUCGAAACUGGCGGACUUGAAUGCGGAUGCUGUGGGAGGAAUGUGUGGUGUAGCGGUGAAAUGCAUAGAUAUCACACAGAACACUGAUUGCGAAGGCAUCUCACAAAUCCGUGAAUGACGCUGAGGCACGAAAGUGUGGGGAUCAAAC
rnacentral:rRNA from 1 species